UACCUGCAGGAGUGGGGAGAGGAGCGACUUGAAGCCACGGGGAGAGAUGAAGACGAUAAGCCCAGCCCUUCUGACAGCCUCCCCGACGGGCAGUAGUGGGACAGAUGGGAAAUCCUGUGAGGUAAAGGAGUUUAAUUCCUACCCAACAAAGGAAGAAACGAAGGCCCAGACAGGUCACCUCACUCGCUCCAGUUCCCUCCACUGGGAAGGUCUGGAGUCUGGACCAUGCUCAGAAUGAUAAAGGCUCCUGUCCCUGUCUGCCCUUGACUUCCUCGGCCUCUUGACCGACCUUGGUGCCUCCCAGCAUGGCCCCACCCGGAGUUCUGUGCCUCCUGUUUCUAGGGAAUCUGUGAGGAUACAUUCUCAUUGCCGUGUGUUUGUGUCUUACCACACUUGAUCCAAACAGAUCCAAAUCCAGUUUAUUCUAAACCAGUAGUAAAGUCUCCUCAGACCCCAAGAGGUAGGCAGGGUCUGUUAGAUCCUCAUUUUACAAGAGGAAACCGAGGUCCCAUGGGAGGUUAUGAACGUCACUUAUGGUCCCACUGCCAGUAAAUAUCUGCUGGGCUGUGGGGUCUGGGCCUCUGCACGGUGCCACUUCCCCAUGCAGAGACAGCAGUCGACAGGCCUCUGACCCAUGUUACAGCCCCAGUUCCCUUUACUGGGUCUUCCCGCUGCACAGGGAGGAGAUAAGGACAGACCGGCUUGUGCAGAUUUGGGUCCCUGUUACCCGACUUGGCGCAGGAGGCAGUCAGGGCUGACUGGUGUGGAUGGAGAGAAGCAGAGAAGCCUUUGUCUUUACAGGGCGGGGAUCUGGCAAUAAGGAUCCCUGUGACUUUCCUGACAUUAUGCGUUGUUUUCUGUGUUGCCUCGUUCUGUCCCCACUCAGACCCUUUAAGGGAAGUGGCUGUUUCCCCCAUUUUGCCAAUGAGAAAACAGGCUGGGGGAAGGGAGGCAUUUGCCACACCGCCUGCCUUCUGUGGAGUCGGCCUCUGUCACAGUCCCAGGUUUCGUGUGUUCUGUGACCGAGACUUCCUUACCUUGUCAGCCGCCUCCUCACGGCCCCUCGCUGCAUUCCAGCUCCUGAUCAACCCGACACACACGCCAACUGAGCUUCUAGAAGAGUGAGAGCAGACAGCAAAGUCCUGGGGGGCAGGGGCUGACCCCCAGCCUUGCUGCGCUCCCAGGCGGGGAGCAGAGAGGGGAUGCUCACAGAGGAGACCGUUGUCACCCUUCCCCUCAGAGCAGUGGAGGGCGGUACAUGUUGAACAAACAGCCGUCCAGAGAAGAAGCCCGGAUUCGUAGCAUUUGCCAAUUUCAUGGUGUCAAAACUCCCACAGUAUGGAGUUAACUACUACCAUGUGGACGGAAGGUUUGUAUCCCCCAAAGGUAUGUGUUGAAGCCCUAGCCCCACAGUGUGGCUGCAUUCAGAGAGGGCGCCCCAAGGACAUAAUGAAGGUUAAAGGAAUCAUGGCGAUGGGCUCAGGGUCCUCAGAGAAGGUGACAGCGGAGUGCUCCUUUCUCUUUCUCUCUCCAAGUGCACAGUCUGCGGGAAGGCCUCGUGAACACAGAGCAAGAUGGCACCGCCUACACGCCACAGGCCAUGACCUCAGAAUGCAGCCUACCUUGCCAGCAUCUUGACCUUGGACUUCCUGGACUCCAGAAUCGAGAGAAAUUCCUGAUACGUAAGCUGCCAGGUCUGUAGCAUCUCAUUUUGGCAGCCGGAGCGGACGACUCCCCCUCCAGGGUGAAGUCACUGAAUUUGAGGUCAGAAGAAACGCACAACAGCAGGUGUUUCUACCUCAUUCCUGCUGUACAGACACAAGAGCAUGAAUGACCUCAAGAGCGUAGACCGUAGUAGUAUGUGGUAGAAUAAGUAUGGAGGAAAGACGUUAGCAGGGAGGGAUGAGCUUCCUUCUUUUUAAACAUAAUUUAUUUGUGAGUUUGUAUUUAAUUUUUUUGAUUAUCAUUUUUGUGGUGAUAAUACAUACCUAACAAAAAAAUUUACCAUUUGAGCCAUUUUUAAGUAGACCGCUCAGUGGCAUUAAGCUCAUUUACAGAGUUGUGCACACACUUAACUUUUAGGAAUGCCUGUGUUCCAUAAGGGCCGCACAACAUUCCCCAGAAUGUCCCAGUCAGCUCCAGGACCCUUCUCUCUGUGGGCUUCCGGUGGUCAUCAGGGAAUUUAGGAGAAAAAGCCACGAGGUGAUUCUGUUUCUGUGCAUUUCACAGAAUUCUAACUGAACAUGAAUUACGGUGGCCACGUGGGUCCUCUUCGUCUUUUUUCCCUGCCUUUAUCUGUAAAAGGGUUUUAGGAAUCCGAGCUGAGCGUGGGCUGGGAAGGGAACUGGCCGAUGCAUCUGAGCUGAGGUGGGGGCUGCAGUCCCCGUCAGCCCCUGAACUUCGUGUCGCUGUGGUCCCCGCCGGCCGUGUUUAUGCGUUUUGGGUUUGCAACAGCAGAUGGGUGUUCCCUCACCAUUCUGGAGGCCGGAGGUCCACACUCAAGGUGUCAGCGGGGUCGUGUCCCCUCUGAAGGCUCUGGGGAGGGUCCUUCCCGCCUCUGCCAGCUGCUGGAGCUCACAGGGUCUCCGGGGUCCUUGGGGGUUGGCCCCGGGCAGUCCCUGCCUCCCCCGUCUGCCUUUCAGCGGGGAGACGGGUGACCCCGAACUACCAGGUCAGACGCGGAGUGUGUCAGGGCUGGGGGCGGUCGCCAGAUGGUGAGCUCCUGUGAGGAAGUGGUUUACAAACGUUUACACAACACAAGCGUGUGCUGCGGGUGAGACCAAGGAAGACCGAGAAAGAGGGAGCUCGCAUCUGAGCGGGGUGCAUGGGGGCGGCGACCGCCGCCAGGACCCCAGGGGGAAGGGGCUUCUGCACUCCGUCCCCAGCACUCGGUCCGUCACCGGACUUGAUGAACUUGCGGUCUCUGGAGAAAAGGAAUUAUUCGGUCCGAGCCAAAGGCAGUGUGUCUCGGUACAAACCGGAGAAAGUCGUUUCUGAAGGCGGAGAGGGGGAGCAUCCCCGCUGGCGGGAUGGGGCGCUGCCUGAUGCAGGACCGGCUGUGGUCAGGUUCCCUGUGCGCCGGGUCACCUUCCUUGUGGAUGGUGGGUUUGCGCCUAUCAGCUGUGUGAGACCCGGGUCAGAGCACAACCACAGCCCCAUGCCUUAGGGCGACUAUUUAAGUUAUCAUAAUCUGCCAAAUAAAAUCCCUCUGCCCUGAGGAGUCUACCUUCCUAAUAACACAAAGUUGAGAAAUGUGUUUUUACACAAAUAAAAAUUAGCAAAACAAAGACAACUUUAGUGAUUAUUAUUA